GACGAACGCUGGCGGCGUGCUUAACACAUGCAAGUCGAACGGUGAAGGGACCGGUUUUUGCUGGUUCUGGAUGAGUGGCGAACGGGUGAGUAACACGUGAGUAACCUGCCCCCUUCUUCUGGAUAACCGCAUGAAAGUGUGGCUAAUACGGGAUAUUCUGCGCCUGCUGCAUGGUGGGUGUGGGAAAGAUAUUGUUUCGGUGGGGGAUGGGCUCGCGGCCUAUCAGCUUGUUGGUGGGGUGAUGGCCUACCAAGGCGGUGACGGGUAGCCGGCCUGAGAGGGUGGACGGUCACACUGGGACUGAGACACGGCCCAGACUCCUACGGGAGGCAGCAGUGGGGAAUAUUGCACAAUGGGCGCAAGCCUGAUGCAGCGAC
rnacentral:rRNA from 1 species